CACCUGAAGCGCGUCGCGCCUCCUGCAGGCGUCCGUCUGCGGCUCGGCGGGGUGUCGCUGGAAGACGUGGAGCUGCUCUCUGCACGCCGCCUCGAGCCUUUCUGACGGCGCUCAGGACGUCCAUGAGAGAAACAUUGAAGCUGAUUGAAACCGUGUGAGCUCAGCUCUUAAUCCAUAAACCAUCUCAGAUCCAUGAAGAGUUGAUCUGCAUCAAAUGAUCCAAACAUCUGCUCAACUUGAGCCGACGAAAAACUGUUUUAUAGAUGAUUGAGGUUUUUAUUGUGCUUUAUUGUUGCAGCUCCUCAAGAUCCUGAAGGUCUCUGAACACGUUUGGCUUUGGCUCGCCUCACAAAUCCACAACGCAAACAGCGGCGGCCGCGUCGGACCGGCUGCCGACACGUCUGCUCAGCGGCUGUUUAUUUAAACCUGCGCGGCCCCUUGCCGGGGGGGGGGGCUCCUCGGGGGCCUCCUCGGGGCCCCCCGGCUUGUUUGAGAAUCCGUUCACACCUGGGGCUUAAAUUACUGACACUAACAAUGCAAGAAAU
ensembl:lncRNA